rnacentral:rRNA from 1 species
AACCUAUAGAACUAUUAUUUUAGGCAACCCCUGCCCGGUGUGAGCAUUAACGGCCGCAGUACUCUGACUGUGCUAAGGUAGCAUAAUCAAUUGACUUCUAAUUAAAGCCGAGUAUGAAAGGGGCCAUGGGGGGUAACUGUCUCUUAUUAAUAAUACUGAACUUAUUUAAAAGGUGAAAAUACCUUUAAUUCUUACAUUAGACGAGAAGACCCUUAGAAUUAUAAUUAACUACAUAAUUUGUUUAAAAUUUUUGUUGGGGCAACAGUUAUGAAAAUCAUAAUUUAUUUUAUUUAACAAGUCAAUUUUUUAUAAUUAAGGUUUAAUUACCUAAGGGAUAACAGCAUAAUUAAUUUAUUAGUUUAUGACCUCGAUGUUGGACUAAGGACUAAUUUAGUUAGCCGCUAAAUGUGCAGGUUCUGUUCGAACCUACUAUCCUU